AUUGCGAGAACAAACAAUAAUAGAGUUCUAAGAUAAAAUUUUAACAAAAAAUGGCAAAACACAUUUCGCAAUAUUUUCUCUUGGGAAUUUUAUGCAUUGUGUUGGUUCUAGCUUUGGGACCAACACCAGUUUUGAGUCAGUGCAUUUGGCCUGGGAUGUGUCUUGGCCCUGCUAUUUGCGACGCAAGGUGCAAGUUUCUGCUACGUCCAGGAGGACGAUGCCUUGGAUUUGUUUGUUGUUGUACGUAAUGAAAUAAAUUACAUUAUUAUAAAUAUUUAUAUCUAUUUUACUAAAUAAGAAACAUCUUCCUCCAAAGCUUUUAUUUAUAUAUGUUUGAAGCAUAUAUAUCAAGUAUGGGUAUAAGAAUAAGUGAAGAACUUGAAAGUAGUGUGGCCAAGCUCAAUGUGAAAGAAAGUAAGAAAGAGCAUAUAAUAGUGUGCUGGACCAAUAAAAAAAGAUGCUAGCAAGGUCUUGAAUUUAUAGUAGUGGAAACAAAACGGAGUACGUGUGAAAAAACACAAAUUAGAUUUGGUGUAUUUUCGUCUUGUACCACCGAGCAUUUCCAUUAAGUAAUAUCUAUGUACUAAAUGUGUGAAUUAGCUCAUAACCAAUGAAUAGCUACUAUUUUGCAACAUCACUAUACUUAAGUUACAAUA